AGAGUUUGAUCCUGGCUCAGAUUGAACGCUGGCGGCAUGCCUUACACAUGCAAGUCGAACGGCAGCACGGGAGCUUGCUCCUGGUGGCGAGUGGCGAACGGGUGAGUAAUAUAUCGGAACGUACCCUAGAGUGGGGGAUAACGUAGCGAAAGUUACGCUAAUACCGCAUACGAUCUACGGAUGAAAGUGGGGGAUCGCAAGACCUCAUGCUCAUGGAGCGGCCGAUAUCUGAUUAGCUAGUUGGUGGGGUAAAAGCUCACCAAGGCGACGAUCAGUAGCUGGUCUGAGAGGACGACCAGCCACACUGGAACUGAGACACGGUCCAGACUCCUACGGGAGGCAGCAGUGGGGAAUUUUGGACAAUGGGCGCAAGCCUGAUCCAGCAAUGCCGCGUGAGUGAAGAAGGCCUUCGGGUUGUAAAGCUCUUUUGUCAGGGAAGAAACGGUUCGGGCUAAUAUCCUGGGCUAAUGACGGUACCUGAAGAAUAAGCACCGGCUAACUACGUGCCAGCAGCCGCGGUAAUACGUAGAGUGCAAGCGUUAAUCGGAAUUACUGGGCGUAAAGCGUGCGCAGGCGGUUGUGCAAGACAGAUGUGAAAUCCCCGGGCUCAACCUGGGAAUUGCAUUUGUGACUGCACGGCUAGAGUGUGUCAGAGGGGGGUAGAAUUCCACGUGUAGCAGUGAAAUGCGUAGAGAUGUGGAGGAAUACCGAUGGCGAAGGCAGCCCCCUGGGAUAACACUGACGCUCAUGCACGAAAGCGUGGGGAGCAAACAGGAUUAGAUACCCUGGUAGUCCACGCCCUAAACGAUGUCUACUAGUUGUCGGGUCUUAAUUGACUUGGUAACGCAGCUAACGCGUGAAGUAGACCGCCUGGGGAGUACGGUCGCAAGAUUAAAACUCAAAGGAAUUGACGGGGACCCGCACAAGCGGUGGAUGAUGUGGAUUAAUUCGAUGCAACGCGAAAAACCUUACCUACCCUUGACAUGUCUGGAAUCCUUGAGAGAUCAGGGAGUGCUCGAAAGAGAAUCAGAACACAGGUGCUGCAUGGCUGUCGUCAGCUCGUGUCGUGAGAUGUUGGGUUAAGUCCCGCAACGAGCGCAACCCUUGUCAUUAGUUGCUACGAAAGGGCACUCUAAUGAGACUGCCGGUGACAAACCGGAGGAAGGUGGGGAUGACGUCAAGUCCUCAUGGCCCUUAUGGGUAGGGCUUCACACGUCAUACAAUGGUACAUACAGAGGGCCGCCAACCCGCGAGGGGGAGCUAAUCCCAGAAAGUGUAUCGUAGUCCGGAUUGUAGUCUGCAACUCGACUACAUGAAGUUGGAAUCGCUAGUAAUCGCGGAUCAGCAUGUCGCGGUGAAUACGUUCCCGGGUCUUGUACACACCGCCCGUCACACCAUGGGAGCGGGUUUCACCAGAAGUGGGUAGCCUAACCGCAAGGAGGGCGCUCACCA
rnacentral:rRNA from 1 species